AAUACGUUAUGAUAGAAAAUGACGCAGUUGAUUAUGUCAUAACAUGGCAUUUGAACGCAGAAGAUGUAGAAUCACGCAUAUACUGACAAAGAAACACCAUAUCCAGCAAUGAAAUAGGAGGGACGUUCAUCUGUUAUUGUGAAUCCUGAGAAGCAAACAUUACUUGAUAAAGAAAAGGGAUUUUAAACGAAGAUCAUACUUAACCUUGAGAGGAUAUUUCUGAUGAGAAGAAGGAACUAGAACUACUUAGUGUGGAUACAAUUUUGGAGAAUGGAAAACUGGAGAUCAUCAUC